rnacentral:tRNA from 1 species
GUCCCUGUAGCUCAGCCGGAUAGAGCGGCUGCCUUCUAAGCAGUAGGUCGUGGGUUCGAGUCCCACCAGGGACGCCA